GCAGGUCGCACGAGAACGCUUCAGCUUGCUGAAGUUAGUAAAGUGGCGCACGGGUGUAGUAACGCGUGGGUAAUCUACCCUUGAAUUGGGGAUAACCCGCCGAAAGGCGGGCUAAUACCGAAUGACAUCGUAAAUAUUUAGGUGAUUAUGAUCAAAGAUGGCCUCUACAUGUAAGCUAUUGUUUGGGGAUGAGCCCGCGUACCAUUAGCUUGUUGGUAGGGUAAUGGCCUACCAAGGCUACGAUGGUUAGCUGGUCUGAGAGGAUGAUCAGCCACACUGGAACUGACACACGGUCCAGACUCCUACGGGAGGCAGCAGUGAGGAAUUUUGCGCAAUGGGGGAAACCCUGACGCAGCAACGCCGCGUGAGUGAUGAAGGCUUUCGGGUCGUAAAGCUCUGUCAAGUGGGAAGAACCCAUAUGGUGACAAUACCGCCAUAUGUUGACGGUACCACUGAAGGAAGCACCGGCUAACUCCGUGCCAGCAGCCGCGGUGAUACGGGGGGUGCGAGCGUUAUUCGGAAUUACUGGGCGUAAAGAGCGCGUAGGCGGUCUUUUAAGUCAGGUGUGAAAGCCCGGGGCUCAACCCCGGAAGUGCACUUGAAACUAAGAGACUUGAGUAUGGGAGAGGGAAGUGGAAUUCCUGGUGUAGCGGUGAA
rnacentral:rRNA from 1 species